rnacentral:rRNA from 1 species
UACGGAGGGGGCAAGCGUUAUCCGGAUUCAUUGGGCGUAAAGGGUGCGUAGGUGGCAUGGUAAGUCGGGUGUGGAAUCCCGGGGCUCAACCCCGGAACUGCACUCGAUACUGCCGUGCUCGAGUACUGGAGAGGAGACUGGAAUUUACGGUGUAGCAGUGAAAUGCGUAGAUAUCGUAAGGAAGACCGGUGGCGAAGGCUAGUCUCUGGACAGUUACUGACACUGAGGCACGAAGGCCAGGGGAGCAAACGGG